rnacentral:lncRNA from 1 species
UUUUGCAGGAUGAGCGCCGUCGCUGAAGAUGCUAAGCCAGAAGAUGCCAAACCAGAAUCUGAAAAAAAAAUAUAUUAUUGUGAAGUUUGUAAAGUUCCAUGUAUGAGUUCUAUAAGUCUUCAGUCACACUAUCGUGGUAUGAAGCAUAGAAAGAAAGAAGAAGCACUGAGAUUCAAGACAGUCUAUUGUCCUGCAGCUCCCUUCCGAACUGCGAUGAGCUAUGAAACACAGAGACCAGUGAAGAGAGGACUCAUGAAGGAGAUAACAUGUCUGAAGGAUUUUAUAAAUGAUCCCAAAAGAGAAGAACCUCUAGUUGGUAUGUUUUUUCUGUUUUCUAAAUGCUGUCUUUGUAUUGUAUAUGUGUUUUGAAAUACAAGGUGAUAUUUUGAUAUUGUUUCAUUAUGUAAUCGAUGUUGGAUAAUUAAUGGGAUGUAUCUUACACAUUGUACCUUUAAAGUUCAGCUUGUUAUAUAGCUGCUGUAAAAGCCACCUCUUCUAUGCACCUUACUCGUUAGAUAAUUACUUCCUGAAGGAACCAUAUCAAUAAGGAUGCUUUUCACAGAACUCAAAAUGAUUGAGAUUGGAAAGACCAUCUGGAGCUCAUCUUGUCCAACUCCUCUGUUCAAGCGUGAUCACCAAGCAGGUUGAUUAAGACUGUGUCUAGGUAGCUUUAGAAUAUCUGCUAGGAGGUGGAGACUUCACAACUUCUGCUGAUAAGCUGUUCCAGUGCUCGGUCAUUCUCACAGUGAAAAAGUGUUUCUUUGUGUUCAGAAGCCAUCUCCUGUGCUUCAGUUUUAACCCAUUGCCUCUUGUUCUGUCACUGGGCACCACUGAAAGGAGACCGUAUCUAUCAUCUUUGCACCUUCCCUUCGUGUUUAUUUAUAUGCACUGAGGUUCCCACCUUCUCUAUUCCAAGCUGAGCACUCCUAGCUCUCUCAGCCUUUCCUCAUGUGAGAGGUAUUCACAUUCCUUCAUCAUCUCUGUAGCCCUUUGCAGAAUUCCUUCAAGUACGUCCCUCUUUAUUGUGCUAGAAAGCCCAAAACUAGUCACGGUACUCCACAUGCGGCAUUAUCAGUGCUUAGUGGAGACACCUCUCAUGGUGGCAACACUCUUCAUGCAGCCCAAAUUUACUUAUAAACUUUUUCAUGCUAGUUAUAAACAUCAGAUUUAGAGAUUUUU